UUGUUUUUUUUUGUUUUUCAAAUACAUUACUAGUGGCGCAUUUAAGCCCUUAUUAGUGGCGCACCUUCCUUUAUUACUAGUGGCGCACCUAUAAGGCUAUUAGUGGCGCACCUGGAGGGAAUACUAGUGGAGCACCUAAGGGUUAGUAGUGGCGCACCAUGUGGUGCGCCAUUGGUAUUUGGAUUACCAAUGGCGCAUCAAAGGUGCGCCAUUACUAACAAUUACUAAUGACGUAUUAAUAGUGGCGCACGUAUAGUGCGCCAUUAAUGGCAAAAAUAGGUGCGCCACUAAUAGGCCUUUUUCUAGUAGUGUCAUCACGUCUUGACAAUAUCACAUCACAACAUGCACUGCAAAAACAAGUUAGAUGUCCUCUACUUUGUUGUUGCAAGUUUUACGUGGCUGCUACGGGCCUCUAGCAAGAACCGUUCUUACCUACGCAUCAAAACCACAACGAUUUUUCGUCAAGUGUGUUGUUUUAACCUUCAAAAAGGACCGGCCAUAGUCAAACUCGAUUCAACUAAAGUUGGAGAAACAGACACCCACUAGCCACCUGUGUGUGAAGCACGUUCGUAGAACCAGUCUCAUGAACGCGGUCAUGUAAUGUCGGUCCGGGCCGCUUCAUCCAACAAUACCGCUGAAUCAAAGUAAGACGUUGGUGGUAAGCAGUAUGACUAUUAUCGCCCACAACUCAUUGUGUUCUACUCGUGCAUAUAUCAUCUAUGCAUAGACCUGACUCGGACGCCACUGUUGGGGAACGUAGUAAUUCAAAAAAAUUCCUACGAUCACGCAAGAUCUAUCUAGGAGAUGCAUAGCAACGAGACGGGAGAGUGUGUCCAUGUACCCUCGUAGACCGAAAGCGGAAGCGUUAUGUAACGCAGUUGAUGUAGUAGAACGUCUUCACGAUCCAACUAAUCCAAGUAUCGAAUGUACGGCACCUCCGUGUUCAACACACGUUCAGCAUGAUGACGUCCCUUGAGCUCUUGAUCUAGUAGAAGGACGAGGGAGAGUUUCGUCAGCACGACGGCGUGAUGACGGUGUUUGGGAUGUGAUCCGCGCAGGGUUUCGCCUAAGCACUACGACAAUAUGACUGAGGUGGUAAACUAUGGAGGGGGCACCACGCACGGCUAAGAGAAAUCUUGGUGUGCCUUUGGGGUUCCCCCCACCCCCACAUAUAAAGAGGGGAGGAGGAGGUGGCCGACCCAAGGGGGGAGCGCCAAGGGGGAGUCCUACUUGGACUCCUAGUCCAAGUAGGAUUCGGCCCCUCCUUCCAACUAACGGAAAGAGAAGAGAGGGGAGAGGGAGAAGGAAAGGGGGGCCGCGCCACCAACCCUAGUCCAAUUUGGUUUGGGCUUGGGGGGCGCGCCCCACCUCUUGUGGCAGCCUCCCUCUCUCCACUAUGGCCCAAUAGGCCCAUUAACUUUCCCGGGGGUUUCCGGUACUCUCCCAGUACUCGAAAAAAUCCCUGAACCUUAUCGGAACCAUUACGGUGUCCGUAUAUAACCUUCCAAUAUAUCAAUACUUACCUCUCGACCAUUUCAAGACUCCUCGUCAUGUCCGUGAUCUCAUCUGGGACUCGAACAAACUUUGCUCACCAAAACACAUGACUCAUAAUACAAAUCGUCAUCGAACGUUAAGCGUGCGGACCCUACGGGUUCGAGAACUAUGUAGACAUGACCGAGACACAUCUCCGGUCAAUAACCAAUAGCGGAACCUAGAUGCUCAUAUUGGCUCCUACAUAUUCUACUAAGAUCUUUAUCGGUCAAACCGCAUAACAACAUACGUUAUUCCCUUUGUCAUCGUUAUGUUACUUGUCCGAGAUUCGAUCGUCGGUAUCAUCAUACCUAGUUCAAUAUCGUUACCGGCAAGUCUCUUUACUCGUUCUGUAAUGCAUCGUCUCGCAACUAACUCAUUAGUCACAUUGCUUGCAAGGCUUAUAGUGAUGUGUAUUACCGAGAGGGCCCAGAGAUACCCUCCGAUACACGGAGUGACAAAUCCUAAUCUUGAUCUAUGCCAACUCAACAAACACCUUCGAAGACACCUGUAGAGCAUCUUUAUAAUCACCCAGUUACGUUGUGACGUUUGAUAGCACACAAGGUGUUCCUCCGGUAUUCGGGAGUUGCAUAAUCUCAUAGUCAGAGGAAUAUGUAUAAGUCAUGAACAAAGAAAUAGCAAUAAAACUAAACGAUCAUAAUGCUAAGCUAACGGAUGGGUCUUGUCCAUCACAUCAUUCUCUAAUGAUGUGAUCCCGUUCAUCAAAUGACAACACAUGUCUAUGGUCGGGAAACUUAACCAUCUUUGAUUAACGAGCUAGUCAAGUAGAGGCAUACUAGGGACACUUUGUUUGUUUAUGUAGUCACACAUGUACUAAGUUUCCGGUUAAUACAAUUCUAGCAUGAAUAAUAAACAUUUAUCAUGAUAUAAGGAAAUAUAAAUAACAACUUUAUUAUUGCCUCUAGGGCAUAUUUCCUUCAGUAACAAGUGUAACAAAGGUGCAGCAAGGUGACCCAAUCCUUUUUGUAGCAAAGUAUAAGCCUGGAUGAACUCUUAUUUAAAGCAAAUCGCUCCCGAGGACACCUGGGGAUUGUUGUUAAGUUAGUUUUCAUCAUGCACAUAUGAUUCUCAUUCGUUACUUUGAUAAUUUGAUAUGUGUGUGGACCGGUGCUUGGGUACUAUCCUUACUUGGACAAGCCUCCGACUUAUGAUUAACCCCUCUUGCAAGCAUCCGCAAGAAUGAAAGAAGAAUUAAGAUAAAUCUAACCAUAGCAUGAAACAUGUGGAUCCAAAUCAGCCCCUUACGAAGCAACGCAUAAACAAGGGUUUAAGCUUCUGUCAAUCUAGCAACCCAUCAUCCACUUAUUACUUCCCAAUGCCUUCCCCUAGGCCCAAAUCAUGGUGAAGUGUCAUGUAGUCGACAUUCACAUAACACCACUAGAGGAAAGACAACAUAGAUCUCAUAAAAAUAUCGAACGAAUACCAAAUUCACAUGAUUACUUAUAACAAGACUUCGCCCAUGUCCCCAGGAACAAACGUAACUACUCACAAAGCAUGCUCAUGCUCAAGAUCAGAGGGGUAUUAAUUAUCAUUAAGGAUCUAAACAUAUGAUGUUCCACCAAAUAAACCAACUAGCAUCAACUACAAGGAGUAAUCAACACUACUAGCAACCCGCAGGUACCAAUCUAAGGUUUUGAGACAAAGAUUGAAUACAAGAGAUGAACUAGGGUUUGAGAGGAGAUGGUGUUGGUGAAGAUGUUGAUGGAAAUUGACCCUCCCUCAAUGAGUGGAUCAUUGGUGAUGACGAUGGCUUCGAUUUCCCCCUCCGGGAGGGAAGUUUCCCCGACAGAAUAGCUCCGCUGAAGCCCUAGAUUGCUUCUGCCCAGGUUCCGCCUCGAGAAGGUGGUGCUUCAUCUUGAAAGCUUCCUCUUGAUUUUUUUUCAUGUCAAAACCUGUCAUAUAGAAGAAGAUGGGCACCGAGGACCUGCCAGGGGACCCACAAGCCCUGGGGCGUGCCCUAGGGGGUAGGGCGCGCCCCCCAGGCCCGUGGCCACCUAGUGGGCCCCCUCUGGUAGUUUCUUCACCCCAUAAUUUUUAUAUAUUCCAAAAUAGUUCUUCGUAACUUUUCAGGACUUUUGGAGUUGUGCAGGAUAGGUCUCUCAGAUUUGCUCCUUUCCGGUCCAGAAUUCCAGCUGCCGGCAUUCUCCCUCUUCAUGUAAAUCUUGUAAAAUAAGAGAGAAAAAGGCAUAAGUAUUGUACCAUAAUGUAUAAUAACAACCCAUAAUGCAAUAAAUAUUAACAUAAAAGAAUGAUGCAAAAUGGACAUAUCAAUCCGUCGUUGUGAAUAUCAUGUUCACGGAGGCCUUAUGAGUGGGCUUACGACUUUGCGGAGGUCGUACGAUGUGUCUCCAUGCAAGGUGGUCAGGGCGAUUGUAGACCCCCAAGGUCUGCCCUUGCUCAUCAUACAUGUGGUCGACAAGGUAUGAAGGUGAGAUGUCAAGAAAUUGUCCUGACCCCUUAGCGACCACCUCAAAAGAGUUGAACCUAUGGCAUUGGCCUGGCGGGAGUUCGCCAGCCUUUUCUGAUUCUCCGUGUCGGGUUAGGUCUAUGAUCAACAUCACCCGUGCCUGGCGCUCCAACUAACGGAGCAAAAUACCGUUAAAUCCCUCGGUCGAGUUCAUGACGAGAUCAAAGUACUAGGACGGAGUCUGCACACACAAUUUACCUAGGUUUGGGCCUCCGAAGAGUAAUACCCUACAUCCUGCUUCUUCUUUUUAUUAAUGGUGAGGGGAUACCUCAUGCAGAGGAUUACAAUAGUGUAUGGGAUGUCUACCGAGAGUUGAGAUCUAAGAUUGGAUGAUCAAUGAGGACCUAGACCUCCCUUUAUAUAGACAGGAGAGGUCUAGGGUUUACAUGGGGGCAUGUGAGAUUGGCCCCGCCACCGCCGUCCUGACUUCAAGAGCAUGUAGAUCGUCUCUGCCUCUUUAGGGCUUCUGUAACGCCCACGAUGCGGCUAUAUCUCCCACAUGUCAAGGCAUGACUUAGAGGCAUGACCGCAUUGUGGUUUUGUCGCAAGAAGGGUCAUCUUCACACAAUCCCAUGUAAUGAACAAGAAAGGGAUAAAUAGAGUUGGCUUACACUCGCCACGUCACACAAUGAUCAAAUAGUCAUACAUCAUUCACAGUACACUCAUAGUCCAUCUACGGACAAACCAAAUGAAAAGAAGAUAACCCCAAAUGCUAGAUCCCCAAUCGUCCCAACUGGGCUCCACUACUGAUCAUCAGGAAACGAAACAUAGUAACGACCAAGGUCCUCGUCGAACUCACACUUGAGUUAGGUAGCAUCACCUGCACUGGCAUCAUCGGCACCUGCAACUGUUUUGGUAGUAUCUAUGAGUCACGAGGACUCAACAAUCUCAAAACCCGCAAGAUCAAGACUAUUUAAGCUUAUGGGUAGGAUCAGGUAAUGAGGUGGAGUAGCAGCAAGCACUAAGCAAAUAUGGUGGCUAACAUACGAGUACAAGAGUAAGAGGAGAAACUACGCAAUGGACGUGAAGCUAGAAGUGAUCAAGAAGUGAUCUUGAACUACUUACGGUCAUACAUAACCCAACCGUGUUCACUUCCCGGACACCGCCGAAAAGAGACCAUCACGGCUACACACGCGGUUGAUGCAUUUUAAUUAAGUCAAGUUUCAAGUUCUCUACAACCGGAUAUUAACAAAUUUCCAUCUGCCACAUAACUGCAGGCACGGCUUUUGAAAGUUUAUACCCUGCAGGGGUGUCCCAACUUAGCCCAUCACAAGCUCUUAUGAUCAAUAAAGGAUAUUCCUUCUCCCGGAAAGACCCGAUCAGUCUCGGAAUCCUGGUUACAAGACAUUUCGACAAUGGCAAAACAAGACCAACAAGACCGCCCGAUGCGCCGACAAAUCUCAAUAGGAGCCGCACAUAUCUCAUUCUCAGGGCACACCGGAUGGGACAAGCUAUGAGUAAAACCAACCCUCGAGUUUGUUGGGAUCUACUGUAGUGUGCGUCGACUACAAAUUAAAAUUUUCCUAAGCGCAGAACAACCAAGAACAAGCUACGGGAGCUGGAUCACAGUUCGUUACCACUAGACGCGUAGUGCCGUGCAGCGGAAGAAGAGUUGGGGCAGCGCAUCCGCGUGGAUCGUCUCCUCCUCGUCCGAUCGCCCUCGUACAGGUUCGCUAGAGUGGCACAAGUGCACCGCCUCUAACGAUAUCUGCGCGUGCAAUAGGAACGUCGUGCGGCGGACUGCUAGGUCCAAUCACACAACCGGCGGCGAGUGGAGGUGUCUAUUCGCAACACAUGCAAACCCUAGUGACAGUGCCGAAGCGAUCAACCGCAUGAGUGUGCCGCACCCCACUUUAUAUAGGUGUCCAUCGCGGGCUCAAUACUUGGGCCUCGCACGGACCCUAAAGCCCAUAAGUCUACUCGGCCACAAUCCGAAUACAGCUCAGAUCACAUCCGACCAGUGUCCUCGGAUCCGACCUCGUAGGUUCCUUCCCUUAAGCACACGACCCCUUAGGUUCAAGCUGGCUUGGUCGCGGUUCGGAUCACCCCUGAUCUCUAUUAUCCAACUAUUACAACUAGUAAUGAAUUUUACAUAGAGUCACAAGUCGACACACAGGUCAUUAUACAAUAUAAUGACAGCACUUUGGCUCCUGCCGGCUGACAAACAUGACACGCAGGCCAUGUAUAAUUUACACACAUGCAUCACAUACACAUGAGCCAUACCAUUUCACAGUAUAUGUUUUAUUUGUGAUUGUUAUGCUUCUUGUUUUCUAUGCAUGUUAGAAUGAUAGAAAGAUCCCUCAUUAAUAUCAAGAAAUUUGCCAUUCCCGAUGUUGCACCUUCGCGCAUCAAGUACGUCUAGUAGUGGGCUCAUAAAAUGGGGUGCUGCUAGGUGUCCUUGAACUGAAGGGUUCAUGUCGGACACAGACAUGCACUGUAUUAGGUUAACUUGACAAGGCUAUCAAAACGGUUUUGGGCCUUGUGGCAAAAGAGGUCGGGAGCCGGGGUAUGAGAUACCUACCUGACCGAAAGGAGUUGUAUAGAGAUACCAUUAGCAUGGAGUUGCUUACCGGAUAGGCAUGUUGUCUAGCAGUGAUGCUAAAGCUCACUAGUCGCAUGUGCUAGUUGGAUCCUAAAUCACUCAGAGUUUGCGGAGGGAUGCUGACUUCAGUGGGAGUAUUUCUGUUUAAGGCUAGAAUUACUCUACAUAAACACAUUGCUUAGUGAUUGCAUAUUUUUCUGUUAUGGAUCAAUGGCACCACCUGCUCAACCCAACUUUGCAUUGAAAUCAAUUCUGGAAAAGGAUAAACUGAAUGGAAUAAACUUUACCACCUGGUAUAGAAAUUUGAGAAUUGUUCUCAAGCAUGAUAAAAAGGAACAUGUUCUAGAGUAUCCACUUCCAGAGGAACCUGCCGAUAAUGCUAGUACCACAACCAAGAAUGCCUACCAGAAACCCGUUGAUGAAUCAAGCGAGAUCAGCUGCCUCAUGCUGGCUUGUAUGGAGCCCGAUUUGCAGCAGCAUUUCCAAGACAUUGGGGCUUUUCGAUAUGAUCGAGAGUCUCAAGAGCAUGUUUCAGGUGCAGGCUAGGACCGAAAGGUUCAACGUCUAGCGAUCCUUGAUGGAUUGUAAGCUGAAGGAAGGUGAUCCACUGAGCCCGCAUGUGAUCAAGAUGAUCGGAUAUGUGCAAGCUUUGGAUCGGUUGGGCUUCCCGCUCUUGGAUGAGCUGACUACUGAUGCAGUUCUGGGUUCUCUUCCGCCCAUCUAUGGGACGUUCAUCUUGAACUAUCAUAUGCAUGGCAUGGAUAAGAAGCUCACUGAAUUGCAUGGGAUGCUCAAAGUGGCAGAGUAGGAUAUUAAGAAAGGCACGCAUCAAGUGUUGAUGGUGCAGAAAUCGGCUAAGUUCAAGAAGAGUUGGUCCAAGAAAAAGGCUAAGGCAAAGGGCAUGGAGACGGUAACCUCCGCCGCUGCGCCGAAGUCUGGACCGGACUCAAAGACCAUUUUCUAUCAUUGCAAGGAAACUGGUCACUGGAAGAGGAACUGUAGCAAGUGGCUUGCAGAGCAUGGCAAGAAGGCCGGGAAUGCUACUUCAGGCAAAGGUAAACUUGUUGCAUAUGUUAUAGACAUUUACCUUGCUGACAUACCUAGCAUCUCUUAGGUAUUUGAUACCGGAUCAGUUGUUCACAUUUGUAACUCGAUGCACGGGCUGGUAAGAACUAGGCGUGUGGCACAAGGGGAGAUUGACAUCAGGGUCGGCAACAAAGAAAGAGUUGUUGCAUUGGAGGUCGGCACGAUGUAGCUCCAUCUUCCUUCUGGAUUUAUUUUGGAAUUGAAUAAUUGUUAUUACAUUCCUGCACUUAGUCGAAACAUUAUUUCUGCCUCAUGCUUGAUGAGUCAGGGUUACGAAUUCAAUUUAAAGGACAAUGGUUGUUCAAUUUAUUUGAAUGGUAUGUUCCACGGCUAUGCACCCAUUGUUGAUGGGUUAUUUCUAUUGAAUCUAGAACAGGAACCGGUCUAUAACGUGAAUGUCAAGAGGCAUAAGCCUAAUGAGAUAAAUCUGACAUACUUCUGGCAUUGCCGGCUCAGACACAUUAGUCUGAAACGCAUGAAGAAGCUCCACGAUGAUGGACUCCUAACUUCGACCGACUUUGGGUCGUUCGAGACAUGCGAAUCAUGCUUGCUCGGCAAGAUGACUAAGUCCCCUUUCGCAAAGAGUUGUGAGAGGGCAUCCGAGCUGUUGGAACUGAUACACAGUGACGUGUGUGGACCAAUGAGCACAACUGCCAGAGGUGGCUAUCAGUACUUCGUGACUUUUACCGACGACUUGAGUAGAUAUGGAUAUAUCUAUUUGAUGAGGCACAAGUCGGAAACUUUUGAAAAGUUCAAAGAGUUUCAAAACAAGGUUGAGAAUCAGCUCGGCAAGACUAUAAAACUUCCACGGUUUGAUCGUGGAGGUGAGUACAUGAGCCAGGAGUUUGAUGAUCAUCUGAAAAGCAGAGGUAUAGUACCUCAGCUCACACCUCCGGGUACGCCACAAAGAAAUGGUGUAUCGAAACGGAGGAAUCGUACCUUGUUGGACAUGGUUCGAUAUUUGAUGAGCAAAUCGGAUUUACCCUUGUCAUUCUGGGGAUACGCUCUAGAAACUGCAGCUUUCACACUUAACAGGGUACCAUCAAAAUCCGUAGGUAAGACAUCACAUGAGAUGUGGACCGGGAAGGCUCCCAGUUUGUCUUUUCUAAAGAUUUGGGGUUGUGAAGCAUUUGUCAAGCGACUUAUGUCAGACAUGCAUACACCCAAGUCGGACAAAUGCAUAUUUAUGGGAUAUCCGAGGGAAACCUUGGGAUAUAGCUUCUACAACCGGGAAGAGAACAAAGUGUUUGUUGCUAGGAACGGGGUUUUCCUUAAGAAAGAGUUUCUCAGCCGGGAGGCCAGUGAGAGGAUGAUCCAACUCGAAGAAAUUCGAGUACCACUCGGGGACGGCUAGGUGGGUGAUGAGAUCAUACCGGAGUCAUUCAGGGAACCCGUAGUGGAAGCGGCACCAAAACCAUGGAGGUCGGAAAGAUUGCGCAUAGUGCGUGAUGUAUUGUUGCUAGAAAGCGACGAGCCGACCACGUAUGCGGAAGCGAUGGUGAGCCCGAAUUCCGGGGCAUGGUUAGAGGCCAUGAGAUCCGAGUUAAAGUCCAUGGAUGAAAAUCAAGUCUGGGACUUGGUUGAUCCGCCGCCUGGUGUAAAGGCCAUUGGCUGCAGAUGGGUCUUUAAGAAGAAAACUGAUGUGGAUGGAAAUGUUCAGAUCCACCAAGCUCGGCUUGUCGCUAAAGGUUAUGGACAAGUUCAAGGAAUUGACUACGACGAGACUUAAUCGCCGGUAGCGAAGCUGAAGUUGGUAAGGAUUGUACUAGCUAUAGCUGCAUAUUUCGAUUACGAUAUAUGGUAGAUGGAUGUCAAAACGGCUUUCCUUCACGGAAAUUUAACCGAGGACGUGUAUAUGAUACAACCCAAGGGUUUUGUCGAUCCAACUAGCACUAGUAAAGUAUGCAAGCUCAAGAGAUCCAUUUAUGGGUUGAAGCAAGCAUCUCGGAGUUGGAACAUUCAUUUUGAUGAGGUCGUCACUGGUCUCGGUUUAAUCAAAAAUGAUGAGGACGCUUGUUUAUACAAGCAGUUAAGUGGGAGCUCGAUUGUGUUUUUGAUCUUGUAUGUGGAUGACAUACUAUUGAUCGGAAAUGAUGUUUCGAUGCUGAACUCGGUCAAGGAAUCAUUGAAUGGCAAGUUUUCAAUGAAGGACCUUGGUGAGGCGGUUUACAUUUUAGGCAUCAAGAUCUAUAGAGAUAGAUCGAGGAGGCUUCUCGACCUGAGCCAAAGCACAUACAUAGAUAAAGUGUUGAAGCGGUUCAACAUGAGUGAGGCCAAGAAAGGGUUCUUGCCUGUCUCACAUGGUAUAAGGCUAAGCGAGACUCAGAGUCCUUCGACAUCUGAUGAGCGAAUCAGGAUGAGUCAGAUUCCAUAUGCCUUGGCUAUUGGAUCCAUCAUGUAUGCCAGGAUAUGUACACGGCCUGAUGUUGCUUUUUCAAUAAGCCUAACAAGUAGAUACCAGGGCAACCCAGGUGAGAGUCACUGGGCAGCGGUAAAGACUAUUUUGAAGUACCUAAAAAGGACUAAAGAGAUGUUCCUAGUUUAUGGAGGUGAGGAAAAGCUCGUCGUAAGGGGUCACGCCAAUGCUAGUUUCCAAACCGACAGAGAUGAUUGUCGCUUACAGUCCAGAUUCGUGUAUGUCAUGAACGGAGCAGCAGUGAGCUGGAUGAGUUCCAAGCAAGAUAUGGUGACCGAUUCUACCACAGAAGCCGAAUACAUUGCGGCUUGUGAAGCUGCAAAGGAAGGUGUUUGGAUCCAGAACUUUCUGGAUGAUCUUGGUAUUUUUCCCAACCUCGGUAAAACCGUUGGACCUUUAUUGUGAUAAUUCUGGUGCCAUCGCACAAGCCAAGGAGCCGAGGGAUCACCACAAGACCAGACACAUAGAUCGGAAAUAUCACCUGAUAUGAAAGAUCGUAAAGAAUGGUGAUGUUGAGUUAUGCAAAAUUCACAUAGAUGCAAAUGCUGCAGAUCCAUUGACUAAGCCGCUUCCACAAUCCAAGCAUGAGGGGCACGUUAGAGAUAUGGGCAUUUGCUGUCUAUUUGAUUGACUCUAGUGCAAGUGGGAGACUGUUGGAGAUAUGCCCUAGAGGCAAUCAUGUAUGAUGUUAUUUCCUAUGUGUUUAUGAAUAAAGAUAGUCCUUGAACAUUAUCAAUGAUGUGUAUCAGCAAGUACGUGACUUGUUUGUGGGACUAUGCAUUGUAUGAUAAACGUCCUAAAAGGUCCCUAGUCGAAAGGGCUGUGUGGACGCGCAGCCAACUAGACUAGCAUAUGACACGGUCGAUGGCUUGGUCUCACUAGCCAUGGAGCAUUGGAUGCUAAACGGAUAAUAUGGACUCAAAAGGAUCUGGUCCGAUUCGACAUAAUCGGAUCCGAGUUGAGAUAAGGUCCGAGUCGGACAGACCCAACUAUGAGACGCAGCGAUAUGUCAUCUGUGAGUCUCUAGUACAACAUACGUUCUAUGUCCUAAGACCUGAGCUGGCGCAUGUACUCGGGAUGGUAACAGACUUGCUUUGGGCCAACCAAACGCUACUCCGUGACUGGGUAGUUACAAAGGUAGGUUUUGGCCUUGUCCCCUGCUACCUCUUGAGCACUACGUUGGUUUUCCCAGAAGAGGAAGGGAUGAUGCAGCAGAGUAGCGUAAGUAUUUCCCUCAGUUUUUGAGAACCAAGGUAUCAAUCCAGUAGGAGGCUACGCGCGAGUCCCUCGUACCUGCACAAAACAAAUAAAUCCUCGCAACCAACGGGAUAAGGGGUUGUCAAUCCUUACACGGCCACUUACGAGAGUGAGAUCUGAUAGAUAUGAUAAGAUAAUUGUUUGGUAUUUUUAAGAUAAAGAUGCAAAGUAAAAUAAAAGCAAAAAGGAAAUAACUAAGUAUUGGUAGAUUAAUAUGAUGAAGAUAGACCCAGGGGCCAUAGAUUUCACUAGUGGCUUCUCUCGAGAGCAUAAGUAUUCUACGGUGGGUGAACAAAUUACUGUUGAACAAUUGAUAGAAUUGAGCAUAGUUAUGAGAAUAUUUAGGUAUGAUCAUGUAUAUAGGCAUCACGUCCGAGACAAGUAGACCGACUCCUGCCUGCAUCUACUACUAUCCACUCAUCGACCGCUAUCCAGCAUGCAUCUAGAGUAUUAAGUUCGUGAAAACAGAGUAAUGCCUUAAGCAAGAUGACAUGAUGUAGAGGGAUAAACUCAUGCAAUAUGAUGAAAACCCCAUCUUGUUAUCCUCGAGGCAACAAUACAAUACGUGCCUUGCUGCCCCUACUGUCACUGGGAAAGUACACCACAAGAUUGAACCCAAAGCUAAGCACUUCUCCCAUUGCAAGAAAGAUCAAUCUAGUAGGCCAAACCAAACUAAUAAUUCGAAGAGACUUGCAAAGAUAACCAAUCAGACAUAAAAGAAUUCAGAGAAGAUUCAAAUAUUGUUCAUAGAUAGACUUGAUCAUAAACCCACAAUUCAUCGAUCUCAACAAACACACCGCAAAAAGAAGAUUACAUCGAAUAGAUCUCCACAAGAGAGGGGGAGAACAUUGUAUUGAGAUCCAAAAAGAGAGAAGAAGCCAUCUAGCUACUAACUAUGGACCCAUAGGUCUGAGGCAAACUACUCACACUCCAUCGGAGGGGCUAUGGUGUUGAUGUAGAAGCCCUCCGUGAUCGAUGCCCCCUCCGGCGGAGCUCCGGAACAGGCCCCAAGCUGAGAUCUCGUGGAUACAGAAAGUUGCGGCGGUGGAAUUAGGGUUUUGGCUCUGUAUCUGAUCGUUUGGGGGUACGUAGGUAUAUAUAGGAGGAAGGAGUAUGUCGGUGGAGCAACAGGGGGGCACGAGGGUGGAGGGCGCGUUUGGGGGGGGGGUAGGAGCCCCCCUACCUCGUGGCCUCCUCUUUUGUGUCUUGACGUAGGGUCCAAGUCUCCUGGGUCUUGUUCGUUGAGAAAAUCAUGUUCCCGAAGGUUUCAUUCCGUUUGGACUCCGUUUGAUAUUCCUUUUCUUCGAAACCCUAAAAUAGGCAAAAAAAAACAGCAAUUCUGGGAUGGGCCUCCUGUUAAUAGGUUAGUCCCAAAAAUAAUAUAAAAGUGCAUAAUAAAGCCCAAUAAUGUCCAAAACAGUAGAUAAUAUGGCAUGGAGCAACCAAAAAUUAUAGAUACGUUGGAGACGUAUCAAGCAUCCCCAAGCUUAAUUCCUGCUCGUCCUGGAGUAGGUAAAUGAUAAAAACAGAAUUUUUGAUGCGGAGUGCUACUUGGCAUAAUUUUGAUGUAGUUCUUCUUAAUUGUGGCAUGAAUAUUCAGAUCCGAAAGAUUCAAGACAAAAGUUCAUAUUGACAUAAGAAUAAUAAUACUUCAAGCAUACCAACUAAGCAAUUAUGUCUUCUCAAAAUAACAUGGCCAAAGAAAGUUCAUCCCCACAAAAUCAUAUAGUUUAGUCAUGUUUCAUUUUCGUCACACAAGAAUGCUCUCAUCAUGCACAACCCCGAUGACAAGCCAAGCAAUUGUUUCAUACUUUAGUAAUUUCAAACCUAUAAACUUUCACGCAAUAUAUGAGCGCGAGCCAUGGACAUAGCACUAUGGGUGGAAUAGAAUAUAAUGAGGGGGUUAUGUGGAGAAGACAAAAAAGAGAAAGUCUCACAUCAACGAGGCUAAUCAAUGGGCUAUGGAGAUGCCCAUCGAUUGAUGUUAAUGCAAGGAGUAGGGAUUGCCAUGCAACGGAUGCACUAGAGCUAUAAAUAUAUGAAAGCUCAACAAAAGAAACUAAGUGGGUGUGCAUCCAACUUGCUUGCUCACGAAGACCUAGGGCACUUGAGGAGGCCCAUUGUUGGAAUAUACAAGCCAAGUUCUAUAAUGAAAAAUUCCCACUAGUAUAUGAAAAUGACAAAACUAGAGACUCUCUAUCAUGAAGAUUACGGUGCUACUUUGAAGCACAAGUGUGGCAAAGGAUAGUAACAUUGUCCCUUCUCUCUUUUUUCUCAUUUUUUUAUUUGGCAUUUCUCCUUUUUUUAUAUGGCCUUUCUCUUUUUUAUAUAAUUCCUCACUUGGGACAAUGCUCUAGAAAAUGAUGAUCAUCACACUUCUAUUUAUUUACAACUCAAUGAUUAUAACUCGAUACUAGAACAAAAGAUGACUCUAUAUGAAUGCCUCCAGCGGUGUACCGGGAUAUGCAAUGGACCAAGAGUGACAUGUAUGAAAGAAUUAUGAACGGUGGCUUUGCCACAAAUACUAUGUCAACUACAUGAUCAUGCUAAGCAAUAUGACAAUGAUGAAUGUGUCAUGAUAAACGGAAUGGUGGAAAGUUGCAUGGCAAUAUAUCUCGGAAUGGCUAUGGAAAUGCCAUAAUAGGUAGGUAUGGUGGCUGUUUUGAGGAAGAUAUAAGGAGGUUUAUGUGUGAAAGAGUGUAUCAUAUCACGGGGUUUGGAUGCACCGGCGAAGUUUGCGCCAACUCUCAAUGUGAGAAAGGGCAAUGCACGGUGUCGAAGAGGCUAGCAAGGAUGGAAGGGUGAGAGUGCGUAUAAUCCAUGGAGUCAACAUUAGUCAUAAAGAACUCACAUACUUAUUGCAAAAAUCUACAAGUCAUCAAAAACCUCGGCACUACGCGCAUGCUCCUAGGGGGAUAGAUUGGUAGAAAAAGACCAUCGCUCGUCCCCAACCGCCACUCAUAAGGAAGACAAUCAAAUAACACCUCAUGUUUCAAAUUGUUACAUAAUGUUUACCAUACGUGCAUGCUACGGGACUUGCAAACUUCAACACAAGUAUUUCUCAAUUUCACAACUACUCAACUAGCACGACUUUGAUAUUAUUAGCUCCAUAUCUCAAAACAAUCAUCAAGCAUACAACUUCUCUUAGUAUUCAAAACACUCAUAAGAAAAUUUUACUAAUCUUGAAUACCUAGCAUAUUAGGAUUUUAAGAAAAUUACCAUGCUAUUUAAGACUCUCAAAAUAAUCUAAGUGAAGCAUGAGAGAUUAAUAGUUUCCAUAAAACACAUCGGCCACCGUGCUCUAAAAGAUAUAAGUGAAGUACUAGAGCAAAACUAUAUAACUCAAAAGAUAUAAGCGAAGCACAUAGAGUAUUCUAACAAAUUCCAAAUCAUGUAUGGCUCUCUCAAAAGUUGUGUACAGCAAGGAUGGUUGUGGUAAAAUAAAAAUCAAAGACUCAAAUCAUACAAGACGCUCCAAGCAAAACACAUAUCAUGUGGUGAAUAAAAAUAUAGCUGCAAGUAAAGUUAACGAUAGAAGUAGACGAAAGAGGGGAUGCCUUCCGGGGAAUCCCCAAGCUUUGGCUUUUACGUGUCCUUAGAUUAUCUUGGGGGUGCCAUGGGAAUCCCCAAGCUUAGUAUCUUGCCACUCCUUGUUCAAUAAUCCAUUAAAUCUUUACCCAAAACUUGAAAACUUCACAACACAAAACUCAAAGUAGAAAAUCUCGUGAGCUCCGUUAGCGAAAGAAAAAAAAAGACCACUUCAAGGUACUGUAAUGAACUCAUUAUUUAUUUAUAUUGGUGUUAAAUCUACUGUAUUCCAACUUCUCUAUGGUUUAUAAACUAUUUUACUAGCCAUAGAUUCAUCAAAAUAAGCAAACAACACACGAAAAACAGAAUCUGUCAAAAACAGAACAGUCUGUAGUAAUCUGUAGCUAGCACAAGAUCUGGAACUCCAAAAAUUCUAAAAUAAAUUUAUGUACGUGAGGAAUUUAUCUAUUAAUCAUAUUCAAAAAGAAUUAACUAAAUAUCACUUUCCAAAUAAAAAUUACAGCAGUUCUCGUGAGCACUAAAGUUUCUAUUUUGUUUACAACAAGUUUAACAAGACUUUCCCCAAGUCUUCCCAACGGUUCUACUUGGCACAAACACUAAUUAAACACAAAAAACCAAAACAGAGGCUAGAUAAAUUAUUUAUUACUAAACAGGAGCAAAAAGCAAGGAAUGAAAAUAAAAUUGGGUUGCUCCCAACAAGCGCUAUCGUUUAACGCCCCUAGCUAGGCAUGACAAGCAAGGAUAGAUCUAGGUAUUGCCAUAAUAGUAAGAUAGAUUAUUAAAACUCAUUUCAUAUUCUCUAUGUUCGGCAGCAAGUUUUCUUUGAGGCAAACAAAAGUAAUCAAAAGGGCUAAAUUUAAUGGGACAAAAGUCCCCAAGAUCAACCUUGGGAGGUAUAGGUUCCUCCUUUGGUCCUUCAUAUUGCACAACCAAUUCAUCAUUAUAAGCAUUCUUUUGACAGAACUUUGUGAGCCUAUAUUCAAGAGAAUAUCCUAGUUCAUUAUUUCGAAUAGCCAAAUCAUCAUUAAGUUCAGAAAUUCUAUCAACUAAAACAUUGGUAGGAACCCUUUUUCUAAGAUUUUCAUUGAAAGCAACAUAGUCUAGAGAUUGAAAAUGCAUUAUUUCUUCUUGAUCAAAGAGGGUGGCCUCUAUGGGAGGACGGCAAGCGUCCACCCUAUAAUGCGCAAAGAUUUCUUCGGCCUCUUUUAUUAUGAAUCUAAACUCAUGAGCCAAAAAGAUAGUAGCGGCACGCUUAACAAAAGAAUGCUCAAUAUUAGAAAAUUCUAGGAAAAUCCUUUGUAUGCAAGGAUGCAUGUGCAUGAAUUGUCUUUCAAGUUCAACUACAAGCAUAGCAAUAGUGUCCACAAGACUACUAGUUCUAUGAAGGAUAGAACUACCCAUAGAAGGUAAAGCAUCUUGAAUAACUCCUUUUCCAAUAAUAUUACCACUACCAACACGGAAUUUUUUUGUAUGUAAGAUGGUGGGUUCUUUAGCAGGAGCAUCAAAAUUUUUCAUGAUAUUAUUAUUGUCCAUAUCGACAAUAAUUUCCCCAAUUUCAGACAUGGUGGCAGAAGGUAAGGGGCUAGCCAUAACGACAAGCAAAUAAACUAACACAGAAGCAAACAAAAAGCAAGCGGGCAAAAAAAGGCAAACGGGAAAGAGAUGGAGGAUAGAGAGAGAGGGCGAAUAAAACGGCAAGGGUGAAGUGGGGGAGAGGAAAACGAGAGGCAAAUGGCAAAUAAUGUAAUGCAGGAGAUAAGGGUAUGUGAUGGGUACUUGGUAUAUUGACUUUUGCGUAGACUUCCCGGCAACGGCGCCAGAAAUCCUUCUUGCUACCUCUUGAGCACUGCGUUGGUUUUCCCCGAAGAGGAAGGGAUGAUGCAGCAAAGUAGCGUAAGUAUUUCCCUCAGUUUUUGAGAACCAAGGUAUCAAUCCAGUAGGAGGCUACGCGCGAGUCCCUCGUACCUGCACAAAACAAAUAAAUCCUCGCAACCAACGCGAUAAGGGGUUGUUAAUCCCUACACGACCACUUACGAGAGUGAGAUCUGAUAGAUAUGAUAAGAUAAUAUUUUUGAUAUUUUUAUGAUAAAGAUGCAAAGUAAAAUCAAAGCAAAAGGAAAUAACUAAGUAUUGGUAGAUUAAUAUGAUGAAGAUAGACUCGGGGGCCAUAGUUUUCACUAGUGGCUUCUCUCAAGAGCAUAAUUAUUCUACGGUGGGUGAACAAAUUACUGUUGAGCAAUUGACAGAAUUGAGCAUAGUUAUGAGAAUAUCUAGGUAUGAUCAUGUAUAUAGGCAUCAUGUCUGAGACAAGUAGACCGACUCCUGCCUGCAUCUACUACUAUUACUCCACUCAUCGACCGCUAUCCAGCAUGCAUCUAGAGUAUUAAGUUCAUGGAAACAGAGUAACACCUUAAGCAAGAUGACAUGAUGUAGAGGGAUAAACUCAUGCAAUAUGGUGAAAACCCCAUCUUGUUAUCCUCGAUGGCAACAAUACAAUAUGUGCCUUGCCGCCCCUACUGUCACUGGGAAAGGACACCGCAAGAUUGAACCCAAAGCUAAGCACUUCUCCCAUUGCAAGAAAGAUCAAUCUAGUAGGCCAAACCAAACUGAUAAUUCGAAGAGACUUGCAAAGAUAACCAAUCAUACAUAAAAGAAUUUAGAGAAGAUUCAAAUAUUGUUCAUAGAUAGACUUGAUCAUAAACCCACAAUUCAUCGGUCUCAACAAACACACCACAAAAAGAAGAUUACAUCGAAUAGAUCUCCACAAGAGAGGGGGAGAAAAUUGUAUUGAGAUCCAAAAAGAGAGAAGAAGCCAUCUAGCUACUAACUAUGGACCCGUAGGUCUGAGGUAAACUACUCACACUUCAUCGGAGGGGAUAUGGUGUUGAUGUAGAAGCCCUCCGUGAUCGAUGCUCCCUCCGGCGGAGCUCCGGAACAGGCCCCAAGAUGGGAUCUCGUGGAUACAGAAAGUUGCGGCGGUGAAAUUAGGGUUUUGGCUCCGUAUCUAACCGUUUGGGGGUACGUAGGUAUAUAUAGGAGGAAGGAGUACGUCGGUGGAGCAACAGGGGGCCCACGAGGGUGGAGGGCGCGCCUGGGGGGGGGGGUAGGCGCGCCCCCUACCUCGUGGCCUCCUCUUUUGUGUCUUGACGUAGGGUCCAAGUCUCCUGGGUCUUGUUCGUUGAGAAAAUCACGUUCCCGAAGGUUUCAUUCCGUUUGGACUCCGUUUAAUAUUCCUUUUCUUCGAAACCCUAAAAUAGGCAAAAAAACAGCAAUUCUGGGUUGGGCCUCCGGUUAAUAGGUUAGUCCCAAAAAUAAUAUAAAAGUGGAUAAUAAAGCCCAAUAAUGUCCAAAACAGUAGAUAAUAUAGCAUGGAGCAAUCAAAAAUUAUAGAUACGUUGGAGAUGUAUCAGCCCCUCGUGUGAUCCGACCAGGAUAAGCUUGGCCAUGCGACAAGGAUUAUGUGAUAAUCUGAUUGUGGUCGGCAUCACUGGAACAAGAAAGAGGUCGGGCUAACACAAGGAUGACAGACUCGCCUUGAGCCUGACAACAUAUAUCGUGUGGCAAAAUGAAUGGAAGUGUGAUGUACAGGUUCGCCUAACCAGCUUCAUCGUCCGCUUGGUGGUCAGCACGCCUUGCUAGAGGCCACUACCAGCCAUGUAGUUCGGAGGUGAUCCGAACUGCGACCAAGCCGGCUUGAACCUAAGGGGUCGUGCGCUUAAGGGAAGGAACCUACAAGGUCGGAUCCGAGGACACUGGCUGGAUGUGAUCCGAGCGGUAUUCGGAUUGUGGCCGAGUAGACUUAUGGGCUUUAGGGUCCGUGCGAGGCCCAAGUAUUGAGCCCGCGAUGGACGCCUAUAUAAAGUGGGGUGCGUCACACUCAUGCGGUUGAUCACUUCGGCGAUGUCACUAGGGUUUGCAUGUGUUGCGAAUAGACACCUCCACUCGCCAUCGGUUGUGUGAUCGGACCUAGCAGUCCGCCGCACGAUGUUCCUCUUGCACGCGCAGAUACCGUUAGAGGAGGUGCACUUGUGCCGCUCCGGAGAACAUGUACGAGGGAGAUCGGAUGAGGAGGAGACGAUCCACGCGGACACGCUGCCCCAACUCUUCUUCCGCUGCACGGCACUGCGCGUCUAGUGGUAACAAACCGUGAUCCAUCUCUCGUAGCAUGUUCUUGGUUGUUCUACGCAUAGGAAAAUUUUAAUUUGCAGUCGACGCACCCUACUGUAGAUCCCAACAGAGUUUCUGUGAGGUGGCCCCGCAGGCUGCCCGUUUCGGACCAACACUCAAAGGAGCACUGGCCUGGGGGGUUGAAUAAAGAUGAUCCUCAGGUUCAUUACUCCCUAGGCAAAGUUUUAGGUUGUUAUCAAGAAAAUGUUAAAACCAAGGUUGGGCCUUGCUGGAGGAGUUUUAUUCCAAAGCGAACUGUCAAGGGGGUCCCAUAACCCCAACCAUGUAAGGAACGCAAAAUCAAGGAACAUAACACCGGUAUGACGGAAACUCGGGCGGCAAGAGUGGAACAAAACACCGAGAAAAAGGCCAAGCCUUCCACCCUUUGCCAAGUAUAUAGAUGCAUUAAUUAAAAUAAGAGAUAUUGUGAUAUCCCAACAUAUCCAUGUUCCUACAUGGAACAACUUGCAAGGAACCUGCAACUAGCAACGCUAUAAGAGGGGCUGAGCAAAAGCGGUAACAUAGCCAAACAACAGUUUGCUAGGAAGGUGGGUUAGAGGCUUGACAUCGCAAUAUGGGAGGCAUGAUAAAAAAAAGUGGUAGAUAGCGUGACAUAGCGAUAGAGCGAACAACUAGCAAGCAAAGAUAGAAGUGAUAUCGAGGGUAAUGGUCAUCUUGCCUGCAAAGUUCUCAGGGUUGUCGAAAGCUUGCUCCUUGUUAGCGUACUCAAUAGGUUCCUCGUUUGCGUACUCAUCUCCCGGCUCUACCCAAAACAAGAACACAAGCAACGGAACAACAGUCAAUCACGGUGCAAUGCACAAGUAACAUGAUGCAAGACAUGGCAUGGAAUGCAAGGUAUGAUGUGCAAUGCAUAUGGGAACUCCGGAAGGUAAAAGAUAAAUAAGGCAUCAACUUAGCAAACCAAGCAUGCCGCUGGAAAUAUGGGGUGAUUCCGGUCGAAAUCGAUAUAAGGAACACCGGAAGCGGAUGCAUGGUUUGCAAAUGGCAAGCAAAACAAGAACGAUGCAAAUCUGUGCUUAACAGCAUCAUAGCACUUAGAAUGCAACAAGAAACUAUGCUAAAGCACUCCAACAUAGCAACAAAGCACGUGGACAUAAAGGACACGUCAAGCUCUACAAUUCAUGAACACUGAGCUCCUGCUAGAACUCACUAGAACAAGUCUAAAAUAGCAUGGCAAAAAUGCAAAUGAUAUCAGCUUCACAGACUUAGAGAAAAUACUGAGCAGGGCAUAAUCAGCAUCAGGUAGCAAUGUUUAGAGCUAGCAAACAACAUGCUACAAGAACAUAUUAUGGCAAACAAAGGCAUGGCAUGCUAGUAUUAAAGGCAAAGAACAAAUCUUCCUUACUGAACUUUAACCAAAGAUGCAUGGACAAGAUGGUAGCAUCAAUGCAAACAUGGCAAGUGAUAUGAUCAGUUUCAGACUUCAAAGAAAAACAGAGCAUGACAGAAACAGAUUCAUGAUAGAAACUUUGCAAGCUCAUGCCACUCACCACAAAGCAUUUCAUGGCAUCACAAGGUAACCAACAGUAUGUAGACAUAUUCAUGAAGCUAGACAUGGCAAGAGAAAGUUCAUAGGGUACAUGCAUCACUAGCAACACCCAUGACAAAAGUGAACUUCAUGUUAACAAUCUGCCAGGAACAAUAUUUAGCAAAAGUAGAGCAUGGAAAUGACAUGCUAGAGUACUCCAUAAUUACAACCAUAGGCAUGAAUAGAUAGAGCAAUACCACAUCUGCAAAACACUCUUACUGAACUAUCUCAACAUGUGCAUGGAUCUACUGGUAGCAACAAGACAACAUAGCAUCAUACUGUGACAGGAAAAUUUUAGCAAAAUUACGAAGUAUCACAUAGCCUAAUUUGCAUGCUUGUGAUAGUCACCACAGAGCUCAUAAAAAUACAAGGCUUGCACCACUGUAAAUAUGGCAUGGAGAUACUCCAAAAACAUGUAGACAUCAUGCUCAUAGGGUUCACACACAAAAUGCAAUGAAAAUGACAAAUCAGCAAGUUAUGGUAAAUUCCAGCAGACAACAUCAUAUAGCACUUUUGAAACAAAGAUUAGGGCAUAAAUAUGGACAGUAACAUGCAUGAAAAAGAUAGUAACACAAAGAGCAUCACAAGGCGAACAUUUUGAUAUAUCAUAUGCGCAAAUCGGAGCAACGGACGUGGAGAUAUGACAUGAUGAACAAGCACAUAAUAUGAAAAAUCUCACGACUUGGGCGAAAUUUAUACCACUUCGAAUCUAGGGUUUCGGCAAGAACUUUGAGGCGGCGGCGGAUCUCGUCGGAACUUCGCCGGAGAUGGUGGGGAAGGCGGCCGGAGCUCGUGGGAGGACGCGGGCGAGGUGGGCUCGCCGGAUCCGGCGUCGGGUGGCGCGGUGGAGGCGCGGGUCGGCGGCGGCGGACGAAGGCAACGCCGGCCGGCGACGUGGUCGCACUGGCGGCGUGAUGGAGGACGAACGGCAGGGCGGCAGCGCAACUGUGGUGGGCGGCGGCGCGGCUUGACGGCGACGGGGCGGCGGGCGAGGUGCGCGGGCGAUGCGGAGAGCCUCGGGCGGCGACGGGCAGCUUGGGCCAGAGGGGGCCCGACCCGGGCUCGGGUGGGCCGGUACGAUGGGUGGUGGCGGUUGCCAUGUUGCGGCGUUGGCGUGUCCGGCGGCGGCGGACACGUCCGGCGCCGUGGAGGAGGGUCGACUAGGGUUUUGAUCCGAAAAAUGAGGAAGGGGAGGCAUAUUUAUAGGUAGGGGGAGUUAGGACUGUCCAAAUGAGAUUCGGUUUUCACCCACACGAUUGUGAUCCAACGACAGAGAGCAUGGAGGGGGUUUGAUGGGUUAGUGGGCUGUUUUGGAGGGGGUUUAGAUGGGUUAGUGGGCUGUUUUGGAGGGGUGCUGGGCUGCAAAGAGAAAGGGGCUUUUGCGGUUACCCGGUUAACCGUUGGGGCAUCAAACGAUCUCCAAAUAGAACAAAAUUUGUCAGCCGGCCUACCGGUGAUGUAUCAAAGCCACUCGAUAAAUCUUGUCCCAUUCCGAGAAUGUUUUUCUCUAGCUCACGAAACGAGAUUUGAGGGGGCAACGGGUGCAUGUAGGAGUGUCGGAUCGCGAAACGGACAACGGGGAAAACGACCGGAUGCAUGAGACGAACACGAAUGCAAAUGAGAUGCACAUGAUGACAUGAAAAAAUGCAAAACGAAAACAAAAACCCAACCACAGAGGAAAAUAUCAUAACACAUAAUCAGAAAUGGCAAGAGUUGGAGUUACAAUUAUGGAAAGUUACAUCUGGGGCGUUACAGCUUCCUUCUGAUCUUUGGCUUGGUGGGUCCCGUCUACUGAGCGAGGGCAGGAUCCCGGGAACAUGGCCCUGUUAGUACCCAUGAUGACACGAUUAUUAUCAUGAAAUAUUACACAUACAUGUGCAUCUAUACCAAUAUAAAAACACCCAAAGGGGUAGGUCCAAUUAAUCUCGGCCAUCAAAUCAUGUCAAUCCAACGACCUACACUGCUUCAAUGUCGAGUGCUCAUACGUUAGUGUGUAGUUAAUUUCAUGUCAAAUAUAGUGUUAAUCACAUAAUAACACACAAAUAAUAUCCUACUUAAUAUCCGCAUGUAAUUAAUAUAGUACUUCUAAAUUAACGUGCAUUGCACGUACACAUUGACUAGUCUAUAUAAAAACUCGAUUUUCUAUCACAAAAAUGCAUUGUCACAGAAGUUCAUUUUUCUUGUAGUGUUUAUCUCACGAUGUUUCUUUUUAUUAGCAUUUGGAGGCCUUUCUUACCUAUUGAGGAGCAGGGGAUGAAAAUUUAUCAGACAUCAUUGUCGAGACCUCAUCAGGGUUGCUCAAUCAUCUUAUCUCCAUGGAUGAUGCCUUACUAUUUUUUAAAGAAAACACGGUUAGGGAAAAUGAGAUCAGAGAGGUUCUCUAGCGCAAUGAUUUUGGUCAAAGGAUGUAUAAAAAAAAUCUUCCAUUCAUUUUUGCAAGGGACACCUAGAAAAUUUAAGAGAACAUGUAAAAUCUAGUCCUCAAGUCCUAAACGAAAGCUUCACUGAGAAAUACUUGGUGAUGGCAAUGGAGGUAGGCAGUAGCAAGAAUGGCACAUUUGAAUAUUCGAGAGAUCGUGUGUGGAAUAAUAUAGAAGUUUGAAUUGAGAAAAUUUUGUCUGCAACUGGCGAAGUAGUGCUGAUCAAAUAGGUAGCACAAGAAAUCCGCACCAAUAUAUGUCAUUCUUUCAACUUCAUUUUGUCCAACGAAGUUUCUAACGGGGAAGCGAAAGUGGAAAAUGUAAACUGAGGUGGGUUUCCUGGGAUGUCAUGAAUAUGCAUAAGUACUUUGGCGGCUUCGGUACUCGCGAAAAUGAAUCGUUCAAUUUGGCUCUCCUGGUGGAGCAAUUAUUUUGAAUAUUUCUAGAACCUAGGUAUCUUAGUGCAAGGAUCCUCAAGGUGGUAAACUUUCUAAAUAGUGCAAGUUGUAUUUAGAGGGAGACCUUUACAAAAUUCGUAGGGUGGCCUUGAAGGGAGGGAAGCAUUGAAUCUAGGUAUCAUACUCCAAAUUUACUAUGAAGCAAGCACUCAUGUGUGGCAGCACAUUUUUUACCUCAGCAACACAAGGCACCGACCAACCGAUGCUCUCUCUCUCUCUCUCUCUGAGAAGCCUCACAUACUAGUUUUAGAGUUGAUCGACCACUCCUCGAGAAUAUAGCGAUAUAAUACUUUAGAGCAUAAUUUUGUUCUAUACCUAUUAGCACUGCGCCACGAGAAGAUUUUUAGCUUGGCAGAUUGAGAAAUCGGACAUGUUCUCUGUUUGGUGCAUGUACAUGCUCCCGGCGACAACAAAGAAAGUUUGCGAAGACUACCUUGAAGGCAGACAAUCUACCUACUCCACUUUCGAUGAGCACAAACAAUGUUGUAGUAUGUUGAGGACUAAUGUGCCCACCAAAAUCUGAGUCUUCUUAUGGCGCCUUGAUCAAACCUCCAUUCCAAGGGGGUAUGUCUGUAACCACCAGCAUGGUGUCGCCCGCCACAUGUUUUUCGACAUGCUACUAACAACGACUUGUGUCAAUCCUUGCUUGACUACAUCAUGGCUUGCAAUGUCUGGUUACCGGUCGAUGAUGAGCUAGCUAGUCGGGGCUCAAGAUCCAAGGUAUACAAAUCAAGAUACAGAAGAUAAUACAUGAACCCAAGAUUUGUGGCCCGGGAAACUCCCAUAUCCAACUGGUGCAUGGGUGCCAUAUACUCUCGAAGAGACCAGAACAUUGAACCGGUGGUCCUAAAUCGGACGUCAAACCUUCUGACCAGGUAUCAAUAGUUCCCACACAAGUACUAGAGGGGUUGGGUAAUGAGUCCCUACCUCAUAGCAUCAUUUUUCCUUGCAACCAGAGAAAAAUACGAAGCUUUAAAAUAUUUUCAAGUUAGAAAAGGAGUAGAGCCACACAAAUUAACACAAUAUAACUAAACUAUAAAAAAUAGUUUGUCUUGCAAGAAUCGGCACGGUUCUGAGAUUGACUAGAUCUGCAAUGGUUGAUGGAAUUGCUAUAUGUGUGAUUUCUGAUGAUUAUCAAGGAAACUAUUUCAUCCCCCAAGUAAAUUAAAAAUGGAGUUCCUCAAACAUGCCUUCUUGCUUUGAGAAAAGGCUUGAAAGGAACUAAUUUGUGUUUGAAUACAACUUGCUUUGAGCUUAAUUUGCAUCUUGUCAUGACUGCCUGAAAUCUAGCACCGUCCUUCCUUUAGAUUCUUAAUUCUGCCAUUGACUUUAUGUAUAAAGAGAUACAUGUCAGCAUGCAUAUAGAAUUCCAUCCCAAUAUCCAUACUUUUUCACAAAACAUGCAUAGACAACAAUGUGUGGAUCAAAACUAAGAGAUGCAGUUGUGAAAAAUCUAAAUAAUUUUAUCUACUUUUUGUACAUUCAUACUUUUUCCUAGUGGAAGGUAUGCCAUAAUAGUUAUGUACUACAUAAGUUAAGAAUUUUGAUAUGGAAUGAUGGAUCAAUGGGAGUUUGAAUUCAUCACCACAUUACUGUUGGUGUUCCUAGAAUUUUUGGUCAUGGCGUCAGUAGCACCAUUGUCGCCUUCAUGUGUGCAGCUAAGUGCAACCCAGCCUCCGAAAUUUACAGGAAAUGCAAAAUGCUUCAAAUGGAAAAUGUUAUGUGGGGUGUCCUAUAUUAUGAAUAGUAUGUCGGACGCGGAGUUUCCCAGCCCAGCUCAAAUGAGCUCGGGUGAACAGUAAAAUAAAAAAUCAAAACACAUUAAAAAAUCUGAAUUAUUUUUGACAAUUGUUCUAGGAGCUUGCAAAAUUUCAUCAUGGAAUCACAUUCCUGGAAGGCGUGGCAAAAAAAUAAAAUUGAUACUGUGAAAAUGCUACCCCUCCAUUUUUAUUUAGUCGGUGUAUUAGCUCUGGUCAAAGUCAAACUUUGUAAAUUUUGAUAAAGUUUAUAAACAAAAAUAUUAACCUAUACAAUAACAAAUCAACACCAUUAGAUUCAUCAUUGCACAUAUUUUCACAUCAUAUUUAUUUGUUACUGUAAAUGUUCAUAUUGUUUUCUACAAACUUGGUUAAACUUUAUAAAGUUUGACUUCAGUCAACUCUAAUAUGCAGAAUAAAUAAAAACAGAGGGAAUACUUUCCAAAGCAUUUUGGAGUACUGAAUUUUCUCUACUGCGACUUCCUCAAAUGGGAUUCCAUGAUGAAAUUUUGCAAGCUCUUGGAACAUUUUUCAAUGUUUGUCAUAAGAAAAUCAGAUUUUUUUUCUUGAAAAUAAAUUCAAUUUAACUGUCCACCCAAGCUCAUUUCAGCUCGGACUGAGAAGGUGACUUUCCCAGUAUGUCAUGUUUUCUGGAACAUAGUUUUUUUACUCAUGUAUUUUUUUUACUCAUGUUAUUAUUGCUUAUUGCUUUGCAUUGGGUGUUAUGGUUAUGUCGUAACAUGCUUAUGUGAGCAAAAAUUUCUGUUUAGUUCAAGACAUGGCAAAUUAGUAAUCCAUGCAUCAUAUCGACUCUAAUGCAUUUGGAGAAGGCAUGAUGUGUCUAGUUGACACGCUGAAAACAAGGCUUAAGCUUUAGAGUCAAGGUAUAAUGUCAGGGGUUGUGGGGCCGUUUCAAAAAAAAACUCUUCACUUUACAUAGGCAUGAACCAUAUAGUUUCUUGUUUAUUUAAUCAUUAAAAAUUAUAUUUAAUGAUUUGUUGUUCCUCUUCUAAUUAGUAGGAGUGGGGAAUACUUUCUUGCUAUUGUGUUUCUACACUUUCACUGCAAGUUUCACCACCAUCGGGUACGCACAUCAAUAUUAACACGAUACAUGUUCUUCCCAGAGUUAUUUUGUUAGUGAUAUUUCUAUUCAUAUUAUCUAAAAGCUUCAUACGCUAACAUGAUAUUAGCAGUCCAAGCAAAGUAGUCAAAAUGUUGAUUAGGUAUUUCUUCGUUCUUCGUUUAGUAGAAGCAAGAUAACUUGAUUUUUUGGUUCCAAAUCUGCAAAAGUUGGUGGAAUAUUGAGUACAGAAAAUGUCCACUAGAGAAAUGGAUGUUCUAUGCAAACGAGUUCGUGUUUUCAACAACUUGCAAAACUGGUGUCAUGGUUGUGGGCUUCAAAGUGGUGUUUGCCAUGUCAGUUUUGGUGCAGGUUCCAAGGAAGAACUAUAGCAAGGAGCUAGUAUUUUCCUUCAAAGCCAUAUUAUAACUCCCAUCAAUUCUCAAGUUGAAGCUACCAGUGCUAUUAGGAUUUAGAUUGUGCCAUGCCAACGUAUAAUUGGUUUUGUAGAGGAAAAAUAAGAUUAUAAAAUGUAUAUUAUUUUCAUACAUUAAAUUGUACGCAAUGACAACCCUUUAUUCAUGUAGAACAAUUGAAUAAAUGGGCCAAGGCCUUUUAGUUUGUUAAUAAUGCCUUCAAAGAUUGUUACAAUUGGUGGCAAAGUAGGGGGGUAUUUUGUUUUCUUUAUUAGCUUCGGUGUGUGUGUUAUAACAUUACAUAGCUUCUUUAGUAGAUUAUGUGAAUGUAUCAUGUAAUUCUUUUUUGCUAGAGGCUGUGGUUUUUCCUUUUAUAGUAUUCUAAAUCCCUUGAACAUUUGAAUUUUAUUUAAUAAAUAUUACUUUUGAAAGAAACACGAGGUACCUUGCCAUUAACUUUACCUAUUGAGAAUUACUUAUAUUUUGUAUUCUUCCUAAAAACUUCUUUGAGCUUUGAAUGGUAGGUGGAUAUAAUGACGUUUCUUCUAUCCACCAUCCCCCUCUCCUUCCUGCACACGAUUUUUUUUUGCACGCACACACACAAGUCACCAGGUUAUUUUGUCCCGCGCAACCUUGUUUGGUCGCAUGUUUUUCUCUGCGUUUUUUUGUGUGUCAAGGGUUGCUUAGCUGCAUGGACCUGCUUUGGAGGGACAAGGGGCCAAGAAGUUACUCCACUGAGACUGCUUAGCCUACUCGAAGAAGAGUGAUUUAACGUAAAACAAUAGUGGACAAUGUUGUUUGAUGUGCAUGAGGAUCCUACAAAUACAUGUUUGAGAUGAAUGAUUUAUAGAUGUUUGCAUGUCGAAUAAUUAAAAAUAAUUUCUGGUAAAGUGUGGGGGAGAGAGGAAGAAUGGAUGCCUUGUCUGCUUGUUGUGUGGAAUGGGAUGGUGGGGUAAGGAGGAUGAGUAUAUAUGAGGAUGCUCGACAGAAGGUGUGUGGGUGGAAAUUGAGAACUGUGAUGCUUAUGUAAAAAUAUGACGACCUUUUAAUUAGUGUAUCCAUAUUAUUUCUCUUGUCUUCAUUGCAACGCAUAGACAAUUACCUAGUCUCGAAAAAAGGAAUUGGCAAGAAUGCACUAAGUGUUGCUUUUGUUGAGACGAGGAGUUCAUUGGACCUUUAUUCCUUCACUUCCCACUUGCCAAAUUAUUAUGGUGAUCUGUCCAUAUAGCUUUUAGUCUACCUCCACCCACAAGGCAACAAGUAGUAUGAAUAUAUUUGGAAAGUGGUUAGUGAGGGUGCAUCCAAAGUUGAAGUUUCUGAGAGUUUACACUUUAUUUUAGGCCAUUUGAAACACUUGUAAUAAUUGUAUUUUAUUCCGAAAAAUUACAAGUUAUCUUGAGGGCAUCCCAUAUGUAGUCAUUGCUACAAAAAGAGGAGGAUCAGGCGCCCACGGUUUUCCGCUGAAGAUGAUCUCUCGAAAUUUGUUCAUCGAUUUGGUUAGCGGCCUACUGGGAUUUAUGAUGCAUGAAAUUUAUUUUAUCAUGUGUUUUCUUAUGUUUACCGUUGGGGCAGCCAUGUAUGGCAUUUUCUUCUGAACUUUAUUGUUUUUACCUGAACUUUCAAAUAGUAAAUCAAUAUCAGCUAAAGAUUGUGUGCAUCACUCGAUCAGACUAGCACAACGGGGCAAGGCCACCAGCAACAUAUAGUACGACCCAAAUUGAUACUCAAGUACUAAAAGGCUUCUCCAACGGCGACCCGUAAACUGCCCGCAUAUGUUUGUCUAGAUCGUAGAAGCUAUUCAACGCAGAUCUAUAUUGAUCCGUAGAGUAAUCCGCAGAUGUUUUCUUCUGCAAACUGGAGACAACUGUGGAGGGUUUUGCGGGAGUCCGGACCGCUGCCACACCCGCUUCUGACCGCGUGGUCCAUCCAAACCCCCCUCCUUCCUCGCGCAUGCGUGUUUCCGUUCGGUGCCAGCUGCCCACAUUCAUGUCGUUGUAGAGCACGUCACUCCAUAUUAAAAACAGCUUACGGUGGACGCAACCUUUCAUUGCCACCGACAUUGAAGCAGCGCGUCGGCCGAGGGCGCAACCCGCGACACGUCUUCGGUGUCUGUGCAUGUUCAAUGCCGGAGACGCAUUACUGGAUGGGACAGAACGGAUAUCUACCAUGCUCGUUGAAUGCCCCGUUCGUUCGUAAGACGCCACACCGGCUGUGAAACCCACUCCGACGCUGCGCAUUGACGCACCCGGACCAACUCCACGCCACAAAACAAGCCGCUCCCCAUCCUCCUCCCUUGCAGUGCAUCCGCAAUGACUGCAGGCGGCGAAGCUCUGUGGGAGAACCUUCCCACUAAUGAAGCACGCGGUGUCGCCCUUGCUGCCUCGUGGCAGAGCCGCCAUGCCAGGCGGAUCAAGACCGGCUUGCCGACCAGUUUGCCCGAAGUGUCCGAUGACGUGCGGGAGGAAAAACGGUACAACUUGUUCCUCCUGGAGCAGCACCGGCUGGCGGAGGGCCAGAUCUACGGUGAGCGCGCGAGCGAGGAGGCCGUGGCGGCCAUGGCCGCCGCGACCCCAACUUCGUCGCAGAGCAGCGUACCAUCUACGAUGUAAGCCGCCGCUUGCCAAGAAGCGACCGCCGCCGAGGACCAGCUCCAGACGAUCGCGGAGGAGAACAACACCAGUUGCGCCUUCUACGCGCCGUCGACGAACUAUCCGGCAGCCCGAUGGGACGAAACAGCGCGGGCGGCACCAUUUUCAUCAUGUACCUCACGUCCACUGACGAUUGACAAGGCCCAAACUCCUGCGAGAAUGAGCGACGGACAAGGCCCAAACUCCUGCGAGAAUGAGUAGCGCGUGGAAGACGGCAAGGCCUUGUGUUCCAUGUGGGUUUCUCGUGUUCUACUUUUCCUCGUCAAAGACCUUAGCUUCACUUCAUGGUCUUAGUCGAAGACCUUAGCUUCACUUCAUGGUCUUAUCGGUGAUGCUCACGGAGACGGCAGAUGCAAGGACGACAUGGGUUUAAGAUCAGGUCGUUUUUUUUAAUGUUUGAAAUGUAAUAAAAUUCGUCCUUUUUUUUGUUUGAAAUGUAAUAAAAUUCAGCCGUUUUUUCAUGAAUAUCAUCAUGAAUAUCAUCGGGUUUGUAUGAAAUCCACCCAUAUCGUUAUGGUGAAAAGGUAUUUGUAAAUAUUGGAUGACAGUCUCUCAUAUCCAUGUUCGCGAAUGCAGAAGAAAUUUGAAGGUUGCGUUGGAGAUGCCGUAAGAGCGUAUAUGAGAGUAGACAUUGCUUGUUACGGUAAAGUUUCAUAUAUGCUGAUUUCUUUUACUAUUUUUAAUUGUUUUUGCUUAAUCUGGUGUAGGCAGGUUCAAAAAACCGCAAUAAAGACCAUUCGCAUAGAUGAAAGGAUUGCACCACAGUACAGAGGUUGUCAUCACGGAUCCAUGGUUUGAAAAACAAGCACAAGUGCCAAAUGCUUAUUACAUCGGAUAGCUCGCCAUAGCAGGACACAACGACAGGACAGAAACUAAGCACACACACUCACGGACACAUCACCACCGCCGACCGCACACGACUUUUAUUCUACCGACACGGCAACAGAUCACAGGCCGAUCUCUACCAAACUCCGGGUCACGGUGGCGAUCAACUCAGCUUCAGCAGCAUGACACGUUUCUGCAAACACAAGCAACGAUAAAAACACAUUAAUAUUUUUGCCAAAAGGGAACGCAAAUAAUUGAAAAGAUGGCAGAUAAGCUAACUCCAUCCGCUUCUACCGACUACUCCACCCGUUUAUGGAGAUGGUGUCAGUGUUCUCCACUAGCAAGAAAAUGGGAGCGAGUGAGGGGGCACUUACACCAGGGGAGGAUCUUCCAGCGCUGGUUGUCGCCCUCACACCACUUCCACAGCACGAGGGAGGUGCCGUCGCGCACGCCGCCGUGCUCCUUGUCGCCGUGGAGAGCGUCAAAGUUGAGGUAGAUGUUGUUCACCAUGCGGAUGCACCGGAAGCCGGCGCCCACGUCGCGGCUCUCAGUCCACAACACUGACUCGUCCUGGUAGUUGGCGUUGUAUGGCACCAGCUUCACCUGUUGGAUCCAACAGCAACAGCGAACCAAACAUUUCUUGUUAAUCAUUUAGCCUCAAUCUCUCAGAUCUCUUACCCCAAUGACACCAACAAUUUCUAUGUAAGUGACGAAAAAGAUCUGAGUGGCUUGGACGGUUGCUUACCGGGUGGCCCUCGCCUUGGGAGUGCUUGAUGGCCUCGCCUGUCACCUUGUUGACGAGGGCGAAGGCCGGGUAGCCUUCCUCAUCCUUGAUGCGGUUGCUGUG
rnacentral:lncRNA from 1 species